rnacentral:rRNA from 1 species
UACGUAGGGGGCAAGCGUUGUCCGGAAUCAUUGGGCGUAAAGAGCGUGUAGGCGGUUCGGUAAGUCGGCUGUGAAAGUCCAGGGCUCAACCCUGGGAUGCCGGUCGAUACUGCCGGACUAGAGUGCAGAAGGGGCAACUGGAAUUCUCGGUGUAGCGGUGAAAUGCGUAGAUAUCGAGAGGAACACCUGCGGCGAAGGCGGGUUGCUGGGCUGACACUGACGCUGAUGUGCGAAAGCUAGGGGAGCGAACGGG